UGGGGAAUAUUGGACAAUGGGCGCAAGCCUGAUCCAGCCAUGCCGCGUGGGUGAUGAAGGCCCUAGGGUUGUAAAGCCCUUUCAGCGGGGAAGAUAAUGACGGUACCCGCAGAAGAAGCCCCGGCUAACUUCGUGCCAGCAGCCGCGGUAAUACGAAGGGGGCUAGCGUUGCUCGGAAUUACUGGGCGUAAAGCGCACGUAGGCGGAUUGUUAAGUCGGGGGUGAAAUCCUGGAGCUCAACUCCAGAACUGCCUUCGAUACUGGCGAUCUCGAGUUCGGGAGAGGUGAGUGGAACUGCGAGUGUAGAGGUGAAAUUCGUAGAUAUUCGCAAGAACACCAGUGGCGAAGGCGGCUCACUGGCCCGAUACUGACGCUGAGGUGCGAAAGCGUGGGGAGCAAACAGG
rnacentral:rRNA from 1 species